GUCUAUUAAUAAAUUCUGUCAUGUAUUUUACUAAAAAAGAAUGUCAGUUUUUUAUAAGAAUACGCUUAAAAUUAUCCUGACUUUGAAUGUCAAAAGUUGGUUCUCACGAGGACACAAAUAAAGCAAGAACACACACACACACACACACACACACACACACACACACACACACGCAUACACUCUAUGUAGACCAGGCAGUGAAACAUGGAUAGGUGCCAUAAUCUCUAGAUGCCACAUUUCUCUGUGCUCUGUGACUCUGCAGAGCUUGCAGCUCCAGGAGUUUCGCACCCUUUUUUUGCCAUUUGCUACGGCUGAGGCGAUGUUCCCACACCAUCACACUGGCAACUCUUUCAUAUGCUGCAUAGUUUCAUCUACCUGCUUCAGAGCUCAGAGAGAGUCUUGUAUAUAAAUUGUGAACCUACAAAUCCGAUUUUAAAGCCCACUGGAAGAAAGGCCACAGACUGCUGGACUAAUUCUCUUUGACUGGCACCUUGUUCUUAUAUAACAGUGUACAGCAGAGGUUUUUAUAGUGAAGUUUGUACUGUUUAAGAGCUGAAAACAAAGCGGUCAGACUUGAGGAGGAUUGAGCAUUGCCUAGAAAUUGAGAUGACAGAGUGUUCAGGGAGGAUGGAGCACUUAGUAUGGCUGAUACUAGCAAUGCUAUGGAUGGCGCAGGCCAUAGAGUGCUGCCCUGAUGUCUGCAAAUGCUCCAGGAAGUCUGGCCCAGAAAAAUCAGAUGUCAACUGUCAUAAGCGGGGGCUUCGAGCUUUUCCUUCCAAAUUGCCUUCUGAUGCUUGGAUUGUUAAACUAGGUGUGUACAUUUUAAUCAAAUCCUCUCUAGGAUCCUUUUGACAUCCAAGGAAUGCAUUAAUCUAUCUAACAUUUAAGGAAACAUAAUGGGACUUGAUUGCAUCAAUAACUGACUUUUUAAUUGCUGCCAAAAGGUGAGAAUGGUAUUACCAACCUGAAGGCAAAUACUCUGAGAUCAAUUCCAAAGAUUGAGAGCGUCAAUCUGGAGAGAAAUGCCAUAAAAUCAAUCCAUCCCCAGGCCUUCUCCGGUGCAAAGCAAUUGAUGCUUCUCAAUCUUUAUGGCAACCACAUAUCCAUUCUUCCACCAAGGGGGUUUCAGGUAAAGAUUUUUGGAGAGGAGCACACUUUUCAGCAAUAAUAUUACAGUAAUUUGACAAAAAAAACCCCCAACUGUUUUCUAUGUCUGAAGGACCUGCUAAACCUCCGCUUCCUCAUGUUGGGGCAGAACCAGAUUGGCAUCCUCAAACCUGAGAUUUUUGCAGGCAUGAGAAACCUGUCAGAGUUGGACCUUACUCUCAAUGCACUGACAGUCCUCCCAACUAAUGCGUUCAAACCUCUGAUUGCCCUUAAAGUUUUGGAUCUUUCCCUCAACCGCAUCCAGAAGAUUUCUCCCAAGACCUUCAGUGGACUGAGGCAGCUCUUGUUCCUCAACUUGGACAACAACAGGUCACAAUAACAUGUGCCAUGUUAUUAUACAUCUAGUAGUUACAUUUUCCAGUGCAGGUAUUAUCAGUGAGAAACAAACUUCACUUCUGUGUAUUGUUAUGAGAUAUUUCUGAUCAGAGUAUAAGCAUUAGGAUUUACUUGGUCUUAAAUAGCCUUAGGAUCUGGAACCUCUAAACUGAAGUGAGAACAAAAAAAAUAUUAGUUCAGCUGCUUCAAUAAACAAUAUUGCAACUAUUGCUAAUAGUAAGCUAGAACUGAAGAAUUAGUUACUACUAAGGCAAAGGAACCCAGCAGAUGUUUUGAUAUUGAACUGUUGGCUGGCUGGUUUUCUCUAUAUCCCAUCAUGGUUGAAAAUAGUUCCAAAAUGAACGUUGAACCAACAUUGCAGACAUUAUAAAAGAGAUCAUCUUCUGUUAUCUCUUUAAUGAUUAGACCAAAAAACGUUUCUUUAAUAAAGAAUGACAAGGAAAGAAUACAUAAUCUCAUACUUUUGGGUUAGCACUUAUCCUACUAGGAUAAGUGCUAACCCUUCUUGAGUUUAUGAUACCUACAUUACAGACAGAGGGGGGAUAAUUAUAAGAGUCCAAAACAUAAAAAUAAAACAUACCAUUUUUUUAAAGGAAGAGAGUACUGAUUAUCACAGAGGGUGCUGAAUUAUGGUUUAUGUGUAGGGAUGAUGUUGCUAGGGUAUCAAAUAUUAGAUAUUAGAUAUACUGGUGACUUUCAUUUCCAAAAGGGUUUUGAAUUCAAUGGUUUCACAGUAUACUUUUACUUCUGAAGAGAUUCUAACUGUCCCCCCAUAUCCAGUCUGAAGACCAUUCCUUCUGGGACAUUCAAGCCCCUGCAAUCUCUGGAGAUGCUGGUUCUAGACAACAACCUACUAUCUACCCUGACGUUAUCAGCUUUGGAUGGCCUGAGUAACUUGCAGGUAGCAUGUUUUUCUGGUAUACAUAAAAACAAAAGAAAAAUCAUAGACUCAGUUUCAUUUUUUUAAACAUAUAGUAUAUAGCAGUUAGAUGUCUUACCCGGCAGACCCAGAUCUGACUAAUUCACAUAAUAGCUAGUGUGAUAACACUGCUAACUUAAAUUGCAAAAACCUGCUCUAUUUCCCCGAGUAAUAAUUAUGAACAUGCUAAACACUGAACCAGGAACUCUACCUGAGGAACAACGAGCUGGAGCUUCUGCCCUCUGAUGUGUUCAUCAACCUGCCCAAGCUUUCACAGCUGGCACUCAGCGGAAACCGCCUGAAGAUGGUUGAUGGAAACAUGUUCACCCAUAUGCCUGGUAAGAUAACUGCCAGCCUGACUUUUCCCUGUCCUAUUUUCCCAGGAAUUAGAGUGUAACUUAAACAAGUAUUGGCAGCAGGAUGCUGUUGUCGUGAUAAUCAUUUUUUCUGACCUGUCUUAGUUCUAAAGAAGCUGUACCUCCAUGACAACCCUUGGCAGUGUGACUGUAACAUUAGCCCACUGGUGCGGUGGAUGGGAGACACCAAGGCCAUACUUUCACCACGGCACAGCCUAAAGUGCGUGACUCCUCAAGAGCUCAGAAAUAAGAGCCUCAGCAGCCUGCAAAUUGAUAAACUGCUCUGUCACACUUAACAGUAUAGAUGAGGAUCACAGCGUGGGCUGGGACUCAUAGAGAUUUUUUUUUGAGUAGACUGGGUGGCAGAAUAAUCCUCUAUGAUAUUUUUAAACUGCAAUAUAUUACUGUCUUUCUCUAAAAUAUUGUAUUAUGUUUGCUUUAAAUGGCUAAAAUUCUAGAAUAAAAUGCCACAUUUUUCUGUGAUGCUUUGUUUUAUAAUAACAUAAUAUAAUAAUAAUAUUACUCUUUAUUUAGGUUUCUCACAAAAGUGGUGUUGGAUGUUUUCCAAUUUUAGUAAAUGGUAAUUUUUCCACUCAAAGCGCUUUAUGAAACUUGCCUCAUUCACACAACCACUUUUAACUAUGCUUUUUCUACAUAAGCGCUUUCUAUCUAACAUUCACACACAUUCACAAACCGAUGGAGAGCAACUUGGGGUUAGUGUUUUGCCCCAAAAUUAUUUGACAUGCUGAUUGGAAAACCUAGGGAUUAGAAGAUCGCCUGCUCUGCCUGGUAAAAUAACUGCCAGCCUGCCUGGUUUACCUCCUGAGCUACAGCCACCCUCAACUUUGACCCUUACUUUUUUUUUUUUUUUUUUUUUUUUACCAUGGUCUCUUUAAUAGCAGGUAAAACCCUUAAAAUCACUAAACCUGUAGGUAUAAGCUAUUUGUGGGACAGAAAGUUUUGCAUUAUCAGUGCUAUUUCCACAUGCAAAGAAUAAGUACUAACCCUUAUCACCGGUUGUGAGAUUAACAUUAUAAUUCCAUAUUGCUUGUCUUAAAAAGACUUUGCAGGUUUGGAAAGUGAUGGAUUACGUAUAAAGGGAUUACAUUAAUCACAUUCCAGGAAAUGGUUUCUCUAAUCUGUUACAGUUUAUGUAAAUAAAAAGGAAAAGAAAGGCAUUUGGAUAGACACUGCUAGGAUUCUGCACAGCUUAAUGUAAUAGUGAAGACAGCUGUAGAUAAUGAGAAGUUAUUGGAUUUGUAAUCUUGUCUUCAUUUUAAUGUGCAUCAGCACAUUAAAACAGCACAUAGAGACCCCAAGUCCUCUUGUUUAGCCUUUUGCCCAAUUACCCGGUUGCAAAGAUUUGUUGCUUGUGCAGCCUAAAAAGCACCAUAGUCAUAUCCAUAUCUUGGACUGGAUGACACUGAACCCAAAAACUAUGCAAACUCUAAGACCAUUAAACUCAAUCUGUUUGUACUGUUGCAUUAUAUUUUCAAUUUCAAUAAAUGUGUGUGCCAAGUUUUUGUAAAUUUUGUGCUCGAUCUUUAUUAUGAAGAUAAUCAUUUGUUUGCAUGUAAUGUCCUCAUAAUGUUUUUCUGAAGUUAUGCUGUUUUUCAUAUGGUGAAACAUCCUGCAAAGCAAAUUAAAUUAUAACUAGAAAAAUUUGCAUUUCCUGCGAAAAUGCUGUGUGGAUGCUUUAAAGCUGAAGCUGUCUGCUGAAACUAGCUGAAAAAGCUGAAAAGUUGCAGAAAUUGUAAAAACUUUGCAGAAGCAAAGGAACUUUGCUAAAAUGUAGUAACUUAGCAGAACUGUAAUAUCUUAGAGGAAACAUAAUACUUGGCAGAAAUACAAUAGCAUAGCAGAACUUAGCAGAAAUAUUGUAACUUACCAGAAACAUGAUAACUUCUCAAAAAUACAAGAAUUUAGGAGAAAUAGUAUAAGAUAACAGAAAGAAUAUAUUUAGCCAAACAUUCUUAAACAUUACAGAAAUACUAUGAUUUAGAAAAACAGUACAACAUAGCAGAAAUGCUGUGAUUUACCAGAGACACUGUAAUGAACUAUGAAUAUUGUAAUUUUAUAUAAAUACUAUGUUUUAGCAAAAAUACUCCAGUUUAGCACAAAUAUUAUAACAUAGCAGAAAUACUAUUCUAUAGCAGAAAUGCUAUAUUUAGAAAGAAAAAUAUAAUAUAGUAGAAAUACUAUGAUUUAGCAGAAAUCCUACAAUAUAGCUUAACAACAAUGAUUUAGAACAGAUACUAUGAUUGAGCAGAAUAAUAAUAACUUAAGUGAAAAUAUUGGAAAGGUAAAAUGAUAAGCUGAAUAAAAAGGAACAUGGUUAAGUUCGCUGAAAACUAAUUUUUGUUCACCUGUGAAAAAACAAAAUAAAAAUACAUUUAGAAAAAAAAACAAAUAAGAACAGCCAACAGAUAUACACAAAAUCAAAUAUGGAUACACAAAUCACCAAAUACACAGAAAAUGAAAUAUGGAUACACAAAUGUACAGAGAGAGACACACACACAGGGUCUAUGCCAGUCAACCAGUCUGAAUAUAUUAUAUUUUUAUCCAAUAAUGAGAUGCUGCCCUAAAAAGGGUCUUUGUGUGUGUGUCUUUCUUUCUCUCUCUCUCUCUCUUACACACACACACACACACACACACAGCAGCAGCAGCAGCAAGU
ensembl:lncRNA